GGGACCGGAAGAGGAGGAAGAGGUUGCAAGACGCUCUUCCUUUGUUCUGUGUUUGUUCCCACCUUCAGUGUUUAUAUAUUCAAAGGGUUUUCCAGUAACCUGGCAUCCAACUGGUGUGCGGAAACAUCAGCUUUAGCUGGGGAGACACUACUUGAAAUUGUCCCUCUAUUCUUCUAGGCUGGAUGGAAUGGAGGCCGAAAGGAAGCCCAUGGUUUUCGAGCGUGAAGCACAAUCUUAGCCUUGCCCUACUUCGGAACUCCUCGUGGUCUCAUUCAGCAAAGCGUUCCCAAGAGCCCACCAGGCAAUGCGCUAACAGGCCAACGUGUGGAACUCUGCUAGUCAAUUGGACUGAGGUGAAAUAACAAAACAAAAUCCAUCCAUUCUGCCCGUGUUCAAUGAGCAUUGAAAACCAUGGGGCAGUGCUCACACUCCAACACCUUGGAAAGUCUUCUGUGGUGAUAGCUGUCCUUCUCAUUGCCAUGUGUUGUUGAUUUGCUCGCCCUCUCCCUGUUGAGCCGGAUCUCCUCAAUGGUAGGCUAAGUCUUAACACUGGUUGGUGUCUCUAGGCAACAGCAACAUCCACUCCCCAUCUGUGAUGCUUGUUGAUAAUGAAGUGACUAACUGAGCUGAGACUGCAGGACUUGAACCCUAGAUUAUGAAGGGUAGACUUGUUAGGUUAGAGAGAUCCUUUUAAACAAAGGUAUAGACCUGGGUCUGCUGCUCGUUUUGAGUGGCCUCAGGCUUCCCACAUUCUGCCAGAGAUCUUCUUGGUAAUAUUGGCAGCAGCAUAGAAAGCCCAUGAGCCCUUUUUUCUGGGCUUCUAGGGAAGUCAUGAUGCUAGGACCGACAUUUGUGGUGUCUUCCAUCCACCUUGGAAAAAGAUAAAUAUGCUAAUAAUGGGAUAGUUGUAUAUGUAGAUGCUGCUUAAAGUCAUUGAAGGUCAAUGUAGUAAACCUGAAGAGCAGGAAAAUGGCUGGUGUUUACGGUCUCCUGACUGUCCGCUGGAGGCUAGUCAAAGCAUCCCUUGUCUCGCCUUCAGAAGCAGAUUGCUUGAUGACUGAGAUUGCCCAUGCUUUAUGAAGGAAACUUUGCUACCUACAUGCCCCAAAUCCUGGACAUGCUAACUUUUUAUUUCCAGGAGAUUGUGACUGUCAUUGCCAUGUGGAAGACAUAGCCUGUAUGUCAUGGAUGAUAUCCCCAGACAGGCUUCAUCUCUUCAUCUUCUCCCAGACAAAGAAGCAAGCCAGCAGUGUGUAUGAUAAUGUUCCUUCCUCCCCCAUCCACUAUAUCCAGAGCCGAGGUCAAACUCAUUUUCAUUGGCUCCAGUGUGUGGUCAUGUGUCCACCCCCCCCCUCCCGUCUCUACUGCACCAGCUUUCUUCAUCCACCCCUGGGAAGCUCUCCUAACACCUGACUCCAAGGGGCCCUUGCUCUAACCAACUCUGAUCCACACUGCCCCCUAGGGCUACCUCCCUGACUUGUGUCUAGGCCACACCUUGCUCCUGAACUUCACAGCACUUCUUGCCCCAAGAAGCAUGACAAAGAAGGACUUCUGGUGCCACUGGUUGCAGCCGGUACUAUGUGAGAGCACUUCUACUUCCUCUAAGUAAGCAACACUUUAUCCAGGAGGGGUUAGAGUUCCUUCCUCCUAAUUCCUCCGCACGUCUCUAGUCUAGGGAUGCAUUACCCUACUUUCAACUUCCCCACCGUUUACCAAGCAGCCAAGGGGUAUUCAUAUAAAAGUCUGGAGCCAGACUGCUAAAAUGCAUAUGCUCAUUCUGCCCAGGAGUGGCUUCCUAAGUGUGCCACUUACAUAGCGGCUUAGCGCCCAACCUUAGGAGGGCUCUGGGCUUGGUAAAAUAUUAAACGGCCACUAUUCUGAUAUUAUUUUUUUUUAAAUGAGAGUAUGUAUUAUUUGUACUAUUUUCAGGAAAUUCAGGGUAUAUAAAUAUUCCUAAACUAAAUCCAUAUCCUAUACUAUAAAAAAAAUAAACUCAAGCAGUGAACAUCAAGGAAGAGGCAGCAGACAGACUGUACGAGGUGAGAAGAUGGGGAGGGGCGCUGGGACACAGUCCUCUGGACUUGACGACCAGUGCGGUCACGAACUCGCACAGCUCUGGUUACCUGCACGGUCCUGCCUUAGGUGGAGCACACGAUCUCUAGGCUCCACUUCGUACUGAAACACUAUUGACAGUAGAUAGUUGCUAGGGGACAGAGACUCAUUCCUUUUUAGGAUGUGGCUACAAGCAGAUUUCCAACGCUCUAGUGCAUUCCCCGCACUCAUACAGAUGGGCAGCACUAACUGCACUUGGGAAGUUAUUUUCAGAAAAGAUAUGGAGCUGGUAGGGGAGCAAUUGAGGAGGAUACGGGGGAAUUGGGAGGGGGCAAUAGGCCUAAAUGCGAUAUUUCAUUGUAUACACAUAUAACAUUCUUAAGAAUAAAGAAAAUUUUAAAACGAAUACAUUGCACACAUAAACAUAACAUCACAAAAUGUGUAGACACUAGACAAAUGGUUCUGUCAUUGUUUGGACAUGGAGUAGUAUCAUUUAUUUGUUUUUGACAUAGGGUUGCUCUCCGUCGCCUACGUUAGCCUGGAAUCUGUGAUCUCCCUGCCCCAGUCUCCCACCCCCCCGAAAAAAACAGAUUAUAGGAAUAUACCAUCACAUGCAGCUAGCAAAUUGAUACUGCAGUCACAUCCCAUAAAAGAAAACAUUGAAAAGUUCAGUUUCAAAAUCAAAUACUUCUGCUCCUGAAAAAGGCAUUGGUGAAAAAAUAUAAAAUCAUGGAACAAGGAAUAUUUGCAAAUGUAUAUCUGAUAUAGAAUUUACCCAAAAUGUGAUCAAAAGGACAGUGUCUAACCAUCACUAGACAAGGUGGUGCAUGGCUAGAAUUUUAGCGCUUGUGAGGCCAGGAUAGGAAGGAGUAUUAUGGGAAAGCUACCUAAGGAGAUACUCUAAGGAAAAAUAAUGUAGGUCCAGUAACACAAAUUUUUGAGAAGGUAAUUCACACACACACACACACAAAUUCCAAAGAGGUAUGCACAUAAGGACAGCAAAGAUGCUUGGUGCCAUCCAAUGCAAAUCAAGCUGCUUCUGCCAUCUUGAAGUCCUGGGGUUUUGGGGGAAAGAAUGCUGCUAGAACAGGGUGAGUGACGCUGGAGAUGGUUACUAAAUACAACCUCUGAUCACCCCUUU